AAUAAAACUCGGUGGUGCAGUAUUCUAGUCAGAGACGAGUGUACUCAAGGCGGGGCUAAACUACCGUCGAAGAGCAUAUCGAUGAAGUUUCUGGUGCUGGCUUUCGUUGCCCAAACGGGGGCUUGUGCUGGAAGUUAAGAUUGAUGGGUAAGACGUAACGGCAUGCGUUAUACUCCCAUCUUUCGUGGAGACUCUACAGGGUGGUCGGCGAUACUAAGCGACGACUACUCUCUGAGAUUAAACCUGCUAUGCGGUGAAUUAAAAGCUGUGUACAGAGUAGCUUGUUUUGAGUGGAAUUUUGGGAGUACUGAACGUAAAUCGGUCGUUGGCCAAUGGUCGGUUUUUGCGAAUGCUUUACGAAAUGAAUUCUGCAAAAGAAACUAAAGUACGUUUGUUUCUGCAAAGGAAAUCUUCUAGACUGCAAACCAGGCUUAUCGGGGAUUAUAGUACGGACUAAGUGGCGAUUCAGUUGCGCAAGUGGUGACACUGCGCGUGCGGAAUGAAAAGGAAACUGCUUCUUCGGCGACGGGAAGUUUUCGCGCGGGAAACCCUACUGAACCUAUGCCGUAAGGUUUAUCCGAUAGGUCACCACCUUUGA
rnacentral:sRNA from 1 species